rnacentral:rRNA from 1 species
AAGUAAGCUUCGUAGGUGACCUGCGGAAGGAUCAUUAUUGAAUAAUUUUGAAUUGAAUUGCUGCUGACUUUUAUAAUUAAAAGUAUUUGUGCACAUUCAUUUCAAAUAUUUAUUAAACCCUUUGUGCAUCUUUGUAGAUCUGAAAUUUAUUUAUUCAAAUAUUGAAUAAUAUUAAUAAUUGCUUUAUUUCUUUGAAUAAGAAACUAGCUUUUACUUUUUAUAUUCAGUGUCUAUAUAUAUAAAUAAUUAUACUCAGAAAAAGUAAUGCUUUUAUUAUCAAUUAUAACUUUCAACAAUGGAUCUCUUGGCUCUUGCAUCGAUGAAGAACGCAGCGAAAUGCGAUAAGUAAUGUGAAUUGCAGAAUUCAGUGAAUCAUCGAAUUUUUGAACGCAUCUUGCACUCCUUGGUAUUCUGAGGAGUAUGCCUGUUUGAGUGUUAUUAAAAUUUUCAUUGCUUUAAUUACAUUUUCAAGUAAUAAAAGUUUUGAAUAUUGGAAGCUGCUAUAUAAUAUUAUAGCUUUUUCUGAAAUGUAUUAGCAAUUAUAAUUUGAUUUAUUUUAUGAUAUAAUAUUUUUUUAUGUCAUUUAUAUUUCAUUAAUUUGCUUAAUUAUAAUUAAAUAUCAAUUAUAACCUCAAAUCAGGUAGGAUUACCCGCUGAACUUAAGCAUAUCAAAGGCGGGAGGGAA